rnacentral:rRNA from 1 species
ACGCUCGACACCUACGUGAGGCAGCAGUGGGGAAUAUUGCACAAUGGGGGAAACCCUGAUGCAGCGACGCCGCGUGAGCGAAGAAGUAUUUCGGUAUGUAAAGCUCUAUCAGCAGGGAAGAUCAUGACGGUACCUGACUAAGAAGCUCCGGCUAAAUACGUGGCAGCAGCCGCGGUAAUCUGAGCGGGCUGGCAAGGC